rnacentral:rRNA from 1 species
ACUCAAUAGAUACCCGGGUAGUCCACGCCCUAAACGAUGUCGACUGGUUGUUGGGGGUUUGACACUCUCAGUAAACGAAAGCUAAACGCGUGAAGUCGACCGCCUGGGGAGUACGGCCGCAAGGUUAAAACUCAAAGGAAUUGACGGGGACCCGCACAAGCGGUGGAUUAUGUGGAUUAAUUCGAUGCAACGCGAAAAACCUUACCUACCCUUGACAUGUCCGGGAGCCUGCUGAGAGGCGGGUGUGCUCGAAAGAGAACCGGAACACAGGUGCUGCAUGGCUGUCGUCAGCUCGUGUCGUGAGAUGUUGGGUUAAGUCCCGCAACGAGCGCAACCCUUGCCAUUAGUUGCCACCCGUAAGGGGGGCACUCUAAUGGGACUGCCGGUGACAAACCGGAGGAAGGUGGGGAUGACGUCAAGUCCUCAUGGCCCUUAUGGGUAGGGCUUCACACGUAAUACAAUGGCGCGUACAGAGGGUUGCCAAGGAGCGAUCUGGAGCCAAUCCCGUAAAGCGCGUCGUAGUCCGGAUUGCAGUCUGCAACUCG